rnacentral:rRNA from 1 species
GUAAGGAAUUUUGGACAAUGGGCGCAAGCCUGAUCCAGCAAUGCCGCGUGUGUGAAGAAGGCCUUCGGGUUGUAAAGCACUUUUGGCAGGAAAGAAAUAGUGCGUGCUAAUACCAUGCGCGAAUGACGGUACCUGCAGAAUAAGCACCGGCUAACUACGUGCCAGCAGCCGCGGUAAGACGUAGGGUGCAAGCGUUAAUCGGAAUUACUGGGCGUAAAGCGUGCGAAGGCGGUUUUGUAAGACAGGUGUGAAAUCCCCGGGCUCAACCUGGGAACUGCACUUGUGACUGCAAGGCUAGAGUGUGUCAGAGGGAGGUGGAAUUCCGCGUGUAGCAGUGAAAUGCGUAGAGAUGCGGAGGAACACCGAUGGCGAAGGCAGCCUCCUGGGAUAACACUGACGCUCAGGCACGAAAGCGUGGGGAGCAAACAGGAUUAGAUACCCGGGUAGUCC